rnacentral:rRNA from 1 species
AACCUGGUUGAUCCUGCCAGUAGUCAUAUGCUUGUCUCAAAGAUUAAGCCAUGCAUGUCUAAGUUUAAGCGAUUUAAACAGCGAGACUGCGGACGGCUCAUUAUAUCAGCUAUAGUUUAUUUGAUGGUCGAUUGCUACAAGGAUAACCGUAGUAAUUCUAGAGCUAAUACUUGCACUUCAAAACAGUUCUCUGUUUGCACUUAUUAGAUUCCCCACCAAUGCCUUUUAGGCUUCGGUGAAUCAUAGUAAUUCAGCGGAUCCACAGCCUUCGGGCGCGACGUGUCAUUCAAAUUUCUGCCCUAUCAGCUUUAGAUGGUAGGAUAUGGGCCUACCAUGGCGGUGACGGGUAACGGAGAAUUAGGGUUCGAUUCCGGAGAGGGAGCCUGAGAAACGGCUACCACUUCUAAGGAAGGCAGCAGGCGCGCAAAUUACCCAAUCCUGACUCAGGGAGGUAGUGACAAGAAAUAACAAUAAACCGGCAUAGCCGGUUUAAUUGGAAUGAGUACAAUUUAAACAUCUUAACGAGGAACAAUUGGAGGGCAAGUCUGGUGCCAGCAGCCGCGGUAAUUCCAGCUCCAAUAGCGUAUACUAAAGUUGUUGCAGUUAAAAAGCUCGUAGUUGGAUUUCUGUGGGGACGGAGCGGCCGGCCGCAACUUGCGGUUCGAGCUAGCGCUUUCCCUACAUCCUGCCGCGAACCGUGCUACCAUUAGUUUGGUGGCGCCGGGGAUCGGCUCGUUUACUUUGAGAAAAAUAGAGUGUUCAAAGCAGGCCACACGCCUUGAAUAAGUUAGCAUGGAAUAAUAAUAAAGGACUUCGGUUCUAUUUUGUUGGUGUUCGGGACUGAAGUAAUGAUUGAUAGGGACAGUUGGGGCGGUCAGUAUUCCAAAGCGAGAGGUGAAAUUCUUAGACCUUCGGAAGACUAACAGCUGCGAAAGCGUUCCGCAAGGAUGUUCCCUUUGAUCAAGAACGAAAGUUGGGGGAUCGAAGACGAUCAGAUACCGUCGUAGUCUCAACUAUAAACUAUACCAGCUAGGGAUCGGCCAACGUUAAAUUACUCGACUUGGUCGGCACCUUAUGAGAAAUCAAAGCAUCUGGGUUCCGGGGGGAGUAUGGUCGCAAGGCUGAAACUUAAAGGAAUUGACGGAAGGGCACCACCAGCCGUGGAGCCUGUGGCUUAAUUUGACUCAACACGGGAAAACUUACCAGGUCCAGACAUAGUAAGGAUUGACAGAUUGAUAGCUCUUUCUUGAUUCUGUGGGUGGUGGUGCAUGGCCGUUCUUAGUUGGUGGAGUGAUUUGUCUGGUUAAUUCCGUUAACGAACGAGACCCCAGCCUGCUAAAUAGCGUGGUUGAGCUUUGCUCGGCGCAAGCUUCUUAGAGGGACUAUGAUGCGCGAUAGCACAUGGAAGUUUGGGGCAAUAACAGGUCUGUGAUGCCCUUAGAUGUUCUGGGCCGCACACGGGCUACACUGGCGCCUGCAACGAGCAUAUCAGCUGGCCCGAGAGGGUCUUGGCUAAUCUUUUGAACCGGCGCCGUGCUUGGGAUUGACCAUUGCAAUUGUUGGUCAUGCAACGAGGAAUGCCUUGUAAACGCGAGUCAUCAACUCGCAUUGAAUACGUCCCUGCCCUUUGUACACACCGCCCGUCGCUCCUACCGAUGAAUGUUCCGAUGAAAUUUUCGGAGAGCGCUUGUGAAGUUGGUUAUGCCUUCCGAACGAGAGGCUCAAAGUCACUUAAAUCUGAACAUUUCGAGGAAGGAGAAGUCGUAACAAGGUUUCCGUAGGUGAACCUGCAGAAGGAUC